CGUACACUCCUGCGGGAGGCAGCAGUGAGGAAUAUUGGACAAUGGGUGGAAGCCUGAUCCAGCCAUCCCGCGUGCAGGAAGACGGCCCUAUGGGUUGUAAACUGCUUUUAUCUGGGGAUAAACCUACUUACGUGUAAGUAGCUGAAGGUACCAGAAGAAUAAGCACCGGCUAACUCCGUGCCAGCAGCCGCGGUAAUACGGAGGGUGCAAGCGUUAUCCGGAUUUAUUGGGUUUAAAGGGUCCGUAGGCGGACUGAUAAGUCAGUGGUGAAAUCCGACAGCUUAACUGUCGAACUGCCAUUGAUACUGUUAGUCUUGAGUAAGGUUGAAGUGGCUGGAAUAAGUAGUGUAGCGGUGAAAUGCAUAGAUAUUACUUAGAACACCAAUUGCGAAGGCAGGUCACUAAGUCUUAACUGACGCUGAUGGACGAAAGCGUGGGGAGCGAACAGGAUUAGAAACCCUAGUAGUCCCAUGAU
rnacentral:rRNA from 1 species